AACGAACGCUGGCGGCAUGCCUAACACAUGCAAGUCGAACGAGACCUUCGGGACUAGUGGCGCACGGGUGCGUCACGCGUGGGAACCUGCCCUUAGGUUCGGAAUACCUCCCCGAAAGGGGUGCUAAUACCGGAUCAUGUCUUCGGCCCAAAGAUUUAUCGCCUUUGGAUGGGCCCGCGUUGGAUUAGCUAGUUGGUAGGGUAAAAGCCUACCAAGGCGACGAUCCAUAGCUGGUCUGAGAGGAUGAUCAGCCACACUGGGACUGAGACACGGCCCAGACUCCUACGGGAGGCAGCAGUGGGGAAUAUUGGACAAUGGGCGAAAGCCUGAUCCAGCAAUGCCGCGUGAGUGAUGAAGGCCUUAGGGUUGUAAAGCUCUUUUACCCGGGAUGAUAAUGACAGUACCGGGAGAAUAAGCUCCGGCUAACUCCGUG
rnacentral:rRNA from 1 species